AUUGAACGCUGGCGUCAGGCUUAACACAUGCAAGUCGAACGAGUGGCGGACGGGUGAGUAAUGCUUGGGAAUCUAUCUUAUGGAGGGGGAUAACUACGGUAAACUGUAGCUAAUACCGCGUACCAUAGGAUGAGCCCACGUGGGAUGAGGUAGGUGGUGAGGUAAAGGCUCACCAAGCCGACGAUCUCUAGCUGGUCUGAGAGGAUGACCAGCCACACUGGGAAUGAGACACGGCCCAGACUCCUACGGGAGGCAGCAGUGGGGAAUAUUGCGCAAUGGGGGCAACCUGACGCAGCCAUGCCGCGUGAAUGAAGAAGGCCGUCGGGUUGUAAAGUUCUUUCGGUAGCGAGGCGUUAACUACAGAAGAAGCACCGGCUAACUCCGUGCCAGCAGCCGCGGUAAUUC
rnacentral:rRNA from 1 species